UGGAUUGUAGCUCAAUUGGCAGAGCAUCGCACUGUGACUGCGAUUGUUGCGAGUUCAAAUCUCGUCAAUCCAC
rnacentral:tRNA from 1 species